rnacentral:rRNA from 1 species
UACGGGGGGGGCAAGCGUUGUUCGGAAUUACUGGGCGUAAAGGGCUCGUAGGUGGCCUAUUAAGUCAGACGUGAAAUCCCUCGGCUUAACCGGGGAACUGCGUCUGAUACUGGAUGGCUUGAGUUUGGGAGAGGGAUGCGGAAUUCCAGGUGUAGCGGUGAAAUGCGUAGAUAUCUGGAGGAACACCGGUGGCGAAGGCGGCAUCCUGGGCCAACACUGACACUGAGGAGCGAAAGCCAGGGGAGCAAACGGG